GAUGAACGCUAGCUACAGGCUUAACACAUGCAAGUCGAGGGGAAACGGCAUUGAGUGCUUGCACUCUUUGGACGUCGGCCGGCGCACGGGUGAGUAACGCGUAUCCAACCUUCCCAUUACUGUGGGAUAACCUGCCGAAAGGCAGACUAAUACCGCAUAGUCUUCGAUGACGGCAUCAGAUUUGAAGUAAAGAUUUAUCGGUAAUGGAUGGGGAUGCGUCUGAUUAGCUUGUUGGCGGGGUAACGGCCCACCAAGGCUACGAUCAGUAGGGGUUCUGAGAGGAAGGUCCCCCACAUUGGAACUGAGACACGGUCCAAACUCCUACGGGAGGCAGCAGUGAGGAAUAUUGGUCAAUGGACGGAAGUCUGAACCAGCCAAGUAGCGUGCAGGAUGACGGCCCUAUGGGUUGUAAACUGCUUUUGUAUGGGGAUAAAGUUAGGGACGUGUCCCUAUUUGCAGGUACCAUACGAAUAAGGACCGGCUAAUUCCGUG
rnacentral:rRNA from 1 species